CACCUUUUUAUUAUGGUCAAUGUCAUCCUUCAAAGUCUUUCUAGAAACAAGGAAGAAGUAGUAAUCGCUAUGUCUGGAAGGCUUUCCAAAACUACACAGGGACUUGGAAGACCCAUGGGCUGUGCCUCACUCUUGAUCAUGGAGGAUGAUUCUGGAGGCAAAAGAGUGCAGUCUGCUCAGGGACACCGUGGAGGCAGACAGGGCCAGAGCAUGGGCUAACGUGACAAACUCAUGGAGAACAAGAGAAGCAGGUUGGAAGCUGGUGAUGUCACAAGGAGAGAGUCCAAAUCACACAGCCAUCUUGAGGUUCGCCUGCACCAGGAGACCAAUCAACAAUGCAGUCAAUUUGUGAGGAACAUUCUGGAACUCCUCAGUGUGACCAAGCUGUGGGGAAAAGGAGGUGAGACGACAAUGGGAGCUCCCAAGGCAGCACUGGGAGCCUACGAUGCACAAAGAAGUUGCCAGGAAUCAGAGAGACAUAGAUGGAUAAGCAGUUCUUACAGCACUGUUGGGAAGAAGGGAGAAUCAGAAAUGAAUGUCACCAGUAACUCUCCACCACAGGCCCCUGUUUAUUCACUUCCAUUCCCUCCUACAUCCAGUCUACACUCACUCCUUUACUAAAAAUUCCAUUUGCUUCCCCAAG
rnacentral:lncRNA from 1 species